AUCCUGAAUCACUCUCAACCCAACAUCAUUAAACUAAUGAGCUCAAAUUUGCUCUAACAAGGAAGACCUAGCCUCUUCAAAUGCCAAAACACACCAGGUGUGGAAAUAUCAAGCCUAACUAUCUAGUUAGCCAAAGACUAAACCUCAAAAUACAAAGGUAUCUCUUGAGUCAAAAGAUGACCAAGCUACCCAUGCUAGUUGACUUUUGUCUCAAGGCAUUUACAAC
rnacentral:lncRNA from 1 species